AACAGGAUUAGAUACCCUGGUAGUCCACGCCCUAAACGAUGUCUACUAGUUGUCGGGUCUUAAUUGACUUGGUAACGCAGCUAACGCGUGAAGUAGACCGCCUGGGGAGUACGGUCGCAAGAUUAAAACUCAAAGGAAUCGACGGGGACCCGCACAAGCGGUGGAUGAUGUGGAUUAAUUCGAUGCAACGCGAAAAACCUUACCUACCCUUGACAUGGCUGGAAUCCCUGAGAGAUUAGGGAGUGCUCGAAAGAGAACCAGUACACAGGUGCUGCAUGGCUGUCGUCAGCUCGUGUCGUGAGAUGUUGGGUUAAGUCCCGCAACGAGCGCAACCCUUGCCAUUAGUUGCUACGAAAGAGCACUCUAAUGAGACUGCCGGUGACAAACCGGAGGAAGGUGGGGAUGACGUCAAGUCCUCAUGGCCCUUGUGGGUAGGGCUUCACACGUCAUACAAUGGUACAUACAGAGCGCCGCCAACCCGCGAGGGGGAGCUAAUCGCAGAAAGUGUAUCGUAGUCCGGAUUGUAGUCUGCAACUCGACUGCAUGAAGUUGGAAUCGCUAGUAAUCGCGGAUCAGCAUGUCGCGGUGAAUACGUUCCCGGGUCUUGUACACACCGCCCGUCACACCAUGGGAGCGGGUUUUACCAGAAGUAGGUAGCUUAACCGCAAGGAGGGCGCUUACCACGGUAGGAUUCGUGACUGGGGUGAAGUCGUAACAAGGUAACC
rnacentral:rRNA from 1 species